rnacentral:rRNA from 1 species
UACAGAGGUGGCAAGCGUUGUUCGGAAUUACUGGGCGUAAAGGGCGCGUAGGCGGCCCCGUAAGUCUUGUGUGAAAUCCCUCGGCUCAACUGAGGAACUGCACGGGAUACUGCGAGGCUUGAGUUCGGGAGAGGGAAGCGGAAUUCCGGGUGUAGCGGUGAAAUGCGUAGAUAUCCGGAGGAACACCGGUGGCGAAGGCGGCUUCCUGGACCGACACUGACGCUGAGGCGCGAAAGCUAGGGGAG